GAUGAACGCUGGCGGCGUGCCUAAUACAUGCAAGUCGAGCGAACGGACGAGAAGCUUGCUUCUCUGAUGUUAGCGGCGGACGGGUGAGUAACACGUGGAUAACCUACCUAUAAGACUGGGAUAACUUCGGGAAACCGGAGCUAAUACCGGAUAAUCUUUUGAACCGCAUGGUUCAAAAGUGAAAGACGGUCUUGCUGUCACUUAUAGAUGGAUCCGCGCUGCAUUAGAUAGUUGGUACGGUAACGGCUUACCAAGGCAACUAUGCAUAGCCGACCUGAGAGAGUGAUCGGCCACACGGGAACUGGGACACGGUCCAGGCUCCUACGGGAGGCAGCAGUAGGGAAUGUUCCGCAAAGGGCGAAAGCCUGACGGAGCGACGCCGCGUGAGUGAUGAAGGUCUUCGGAUCGUAAAACUCUGUUAUUAGGGAAGAACAGAUGUGUAAGUAACUGUGCACAUCUUGACGGUACCUAGUCAGAAAGCCACGGCUAACUACGUG
rnacentral:rRNA from 1 species